UACGUAGGGUGCAAGCGUUGUCCGGAAUUAUUGGGCGUAAAGAGCUCGUAGGCGGUCUGUCGCGUCUGCUGUGAAAACCUGGGGCUUAACCCCGGGCCUGCAGUGGGUACGGGCAGACUAGAGUGUGGUAGGGGAGACUGGAAUUCCUGGUGUAGCGGUGAAAUGCGCAGAUAUCAGGAGGAACACCGGUGGCGAAGGCGGGUCUCUGGGCCAUAACUGACGCUGGAGGAGCGAAAAGCGUUGGGGAGCGAACAGG
rnacentral:rRNA from 1 species